AUUUGUGUCCCAGGCCCUUAAUCUUUAGACACCCUUCUGGAUCCGCCACUGCCCUACAGUUACUGAGUUAUAUAGAUUAUGUAUGUAGGGUCUUUUGUUGUUAAAAUGACUUGUCCCACCCUAAAAUGGCCAAAAUAAGUACCUUUGCCAUCAUACUUUGCAACUGUCCCACUCUAAAAGUCAUAAAUAUUGCCUGCAUAUUACAAGAUUUUCACUUUUCAGAAAUGUGCUGGUUACCGGAAGUUCACAAGAACCAGUUAAGCGAAGGUAACACCCUACAACAUGAACAUGAACUGAUCACUGAGACUGCAUUGCGUAUGAAAGACAGUUUUAUUUACUAGCCCGACAGGCUAAUGCAGUAUAGAUUUAUGAUAGCCCAACCUCUAAAAUUGGUAGCCCUGAGCGUUGGGCAAUGGUAAUUGCACACCCCUGCCGGGGGCAGGGCGGGUCACAAUGGGAGAUCAAAGUUUUACAUGGGAAUACAUUGGAAAAAUCUUCUCCAGAACCACUGGGCCAAGAAAGAUGAAACUGAUGUAGAAACAUCUUCAGAGAAGACGAAUGUCACCUUCGUCAGAAGCAGAUUUUUACUGCCAGGCUGGCUUUGACCAGAAAGGUUUUGAGAUCAAAUUUAUAUCAGACUAUAAAAACAUCCAAAUGGCUAGCUCAGAUGUGGAAGUGGAAUCGGACCCUUUUAGUUGGGAAUUCAAUGGAAAUUCAUUUGACAGUGAUGAUGAUGAUGAGAUUAAUUCAGCUUGUUGUGAUCCUCCUGGACAUCCAAGUGUUUUCGACAUUGAUGAAGAUUUUGUCAAUCUCUCUCUUGGACCAAACCAAGAAAUGAUGGUUUUAAGAAGAUUAUAGGAUAUGUCAUAGAAUACGAAGACCCCACCACUUGAGGCAGGCUAAUGACUACCCAGUAGAUGAGUGUGUUUAUGAGGUGAAGGGAUUAAAAAAGGACAAGGAAUACAACUUCCACAUACAGGCCAAGAAUCUUGAAGGUUUUCAAAUUAGUGAGUCUAGUGAUGUGAUUGGUCCCAUAACUCCCAAGCCCAAAUACACCAAGGUUUUGCCACCUGGUGUACCAGAGGCUGUCAACAAUUCUAUAACUUUUUCUGAAAUGGGAACCACCUAAACAUAAUGGUGGCUGUAAAAUUACAGACUACCUUGUAGAAGAGAGGUUUAAGGGAACAGAGAAAUGAGUACCCCUGCACUGACCCCUCUUUACUGUCACCGAUCUUCCUCAGGACUCAGAGUGGGAGUUUAGAGUUACAGCUGAUAACUUUGCUGGAAACUGUGAGCCCAGUCUGUGCUCACCAGCAUACAAAAUCCAGGAGAAGAUUGAGUCUUUUGCAAUUGGGCAGGAUGAGGAAUCACACCAAUCAUUUGUAAAUGAAAGCAGCAGUCAUGAUGUUGUCAAUGAGAAUGAAUUUUAAAUAGGACAUGAUACAGGGCCACUUUUAAGUGAUGAAGCAGACGAGUAUGAUGAUGGUUAUGAUGAUGAAUCAUACCAUCCUUCAAGCGAUGAAAAAAGCUGUGAUGAAGAUACCAUUAAUGAUCUUGAUAUGCCCAGUAAGCCUCUCAAAUCUGAAAUGCAGCAGAAACAAGCUGCACUUGCAAGUGACAGCGAAAAGGACAGUGAAUGUGAAGAUGAUCAUGAUGAUGUCGGCAAAGUUUUACCACAGUCAGAGAAGCAAAAGACCAGGUUUUUAGAGGCCAAAAACAUCGUCUGGAAACUAUGAUAAUAAAAAACAUUCAUGUCUCUUUUGUGAGAAGUUUUGCCAGCAGGCAGUUGAUAGUAUGCAUAUCAUAUAAGCCCAUAGCUCUUUAAGUACAAAAAAUUGUGAGAUUCAUUUUUGCAUAUAGGUUCAGGAUGGAGCUGAAUAUUGAAAAAAUAUAUCCUAUAAAUUUUUUUUUCAUGGACAUGUAGCAGACAGCUGUUUGCAUAAUUUAAGCAAGUAAUUAUUUUUUAACCAAAAUUUGUGAAAUUUAUCGCUCAUGACCCAUUGUUCAUGCAAGGUUUACCUAUUUAUAUUGACACUGCAACAGGCCCAUAGAACCCCCCCCCCCCACACUUUUUCUGAGUAUAGUAUUUUGCUAUAGUAAAGUAUCCUUUAUAUCCUGGUUGCCCCUCCCCCCCCCUUUUUGUUGCAAU